rnacentral:rRNA from 1 species
GACGAACGCUGGCGGCGUGCUUAACACAUGCAAGUCGAACGAGACGAUUGAAAGCUUGCUUUCAAAAGUCGAGUGGCAAACGGGUGAGUAACGCGUAGACAACCUGCCUUUGAGAUGGGGACAACAGUUCGAAAGGACUGCUAAUACCGAAUGUUGUAUAUUUUCCACAUGGAAGAUAUAUUAAAGAUGGCCUCUAUUUAUAAGCUAUCGCUCAAAGAUGGGUCUGCGUCUGAUUAGCUGGUUGGUGGGGUAACGGCCUACCAAGGCGGCGAUCAGGAGCCGGUCUGGGAGGAUGAACGGGCACAUUGGGACUGAGGCACGGACCAGACUCCUACGGGAGGCAGCAGUGGGGAAUCUUCCACAAUGGACGAAAGUCUGAUGGAGCAACGCCGCGUGAGUGAAGAAGGGUUUCGGCUCGCAAAGCUCUGUUGUCGGGGACGAAUGUGCAGUAUUUGAAUAAAGUAGUGUAAUGACGGUACCUGACGAGGAAGCCACGGCUACUACGUGCCAGCCGCCGCCGUAA